UAUUGGUCAAUGGGCGAGAGCCUGAACCAGCCAAGUCGCGUGAGGGAGUACUGCCCUAUGGGUUGUAAACCUCUUUUGUCGGGGAGCAAAAGCCGGACGUGUCCGGCUGUGAGAGUACCCGAAGAAAAAGCAUCGGCUAACUCCGUGCCAGCAGCCGCGGUAAUACGGAGGAUGCGAGCGUUAUCCGGAUUUAUUGGGUUUAAAGGGUGCGCAGGCGGAAUGUCAAGUCAGCGGUAAAAUUUCGGGGCUCAACCCCGUCGUGCCGUUGAAACUGGCGUUCUUGAGUGAGCGAGAAGUAUGCGGAAUGCGUGGUGUAGCGGUGAAAUGCAUAGAUAUCACGCAGAACUCCGAUUGCGAAGGCAGCAUACCGGCGCUCAACUGACGCUCAUGCACGAAAGCGUGGGUAUCG
rnacentral:rRNA from 1 species